rnacentral:rRNA from 1 species
AAAUUGAAGAGUUUGAUCAUGGCUCAGAUUGAACGCUGGCGGCAGGCCUAACACAUGCAAGUCGAACGGUAACAGGAAACAGCUUGCUGUUUCGCUGACGAGUGGCGGACGGGUGAGUAAUGUCUGGGAAACUGCCUGAUGGAGGGGGAUAACUACUGGAAACGGUAGCUAAUACCGCAUAACGUCGCAAGACCAAAGAGGGGGACCUUCGGGCCUCUUGCCAUCGGAUGUGCCCAGAUGGGAUUAGCUAGUAGGUGGGGUAAAGGCUCACCUAGGCGACGAUCCCUAGCUGGUCUGAGAGGAUGACCAGCCACACUGGAACUGAGACACGGUCCAGACUCCUACGGGAGGCAGCAGUGGGGAAUAUUGCACAAUGGGCGCAAGCCUGAUG